rnacentral:tRNA from 1 species
GGAAGGGUGGCUGAGUCCGGUUUAAGGCACUCGACUCGAAAUCGAGCGUGGGCUUAAACCCACCGUGGGUUCGAAUCCCACCCCUUCCGCCA